rnacentral:lncRNA from 1 species
AAUGGAAUGUGGUAGAAUGGAAGCUGCAUCACUGGUCAGGAAAGGUGACAUGACUUUUUUUGGUGCUGUUUUUCUUGAUACAGUUUCCCUUGGAAUCCAGUCACCAUGCUGUGAGGAAAUCAAAGCCAAAGGGAAGUUUCACAUGAAGAGCAAUCAAGUCGUUUAGCCCUCAGCCUGAUGACCACCCUACUGACUGCUGCCCGUGAUAUAAUUCUUCCUGGAACUUGAAUGGGAACCUCGUUGUGAAUAAAAAGAGUUAGAGAGAUUAUAUUGCCACCAUGGAAGAGGAGGAGCUGGAAGGAGAUUCUGAAGCCUUGGGACAAAGCUGGUGCUGCGGCAGUCAGAGCAGAGAGACAGAAUGAUGCCACUGAUUGCUGUGCUUUUGGAGACUGUUCUACUUCUGAAUUUCCAAUUCAGUGAAAUAAUGCCUGUCCUCAUUUAUUAGCCUUUUAGAGUUGGGUUUUCUGGUUUGCUUUGUUUAAAGUAUUCAAAAUGGCACAUACUUCUACUUAGCUUUAAUGUUUCU